ACCACUCCACUGCCCCGCCUAUGGCUCCCCCACGACCAAUGGCUGUAAACCACGUGGCCUCCAAAACAAGGAGAGAGCGUGACAGAAGUGCCUGCUCCUGCGCCUUCGGUGGCCAUCUCGCCCCCUUCUGGUCUUCUUCCACUCAUCUUGUGUUGGGACUCUCUAAGUGUUGCGUCCUGACUCACCAAACCUAGGCUCAGGCUUUUCAAAACCAGGACUCUCCUUGUGCAGACAAACAGGCUCUUAGGAUCUUAAGUUGAAGCUGAUUUCAGAAAUUGGGUACCCUGGUGGCUGUGCAGGUGCAAACCGCAGACCCAGACCUGCCUGAGAGCUGCUCUCCUACCUGGACUCCUGGGAAGCUGUUGCAAUGCCGGGAUAGAAGGACGCCAGCCUUUGAUGAAAAGAAGCCCGGGAGGAAACUGAUUCACGUCUAACUUGUAUUAAUAUUACUCCAAUCCCUAGUGCUGCUGCCGAUAGCUUUCUUCUGCUUUGGGCUGGUGUCCAAACAACAGGACUCCAGCAGCUUCUCCCAUGGCGUCUCACAGUUAAGUAAAGGGCUGACAGGCUGCAAAGGGUUUGUACUAACGGAGUUAGAAGUAACUUUCCUACUAACUAGCUCAGUGCACAGCAGCUCCGACAGCUAACUCAGUGCCUCCAACUCUGUGCCUAUGAAGCCAGCUCCUGGCCACACACUGUCACAGAACCCAUGUGUCUGAAAAACACUAGCAGAUGGUACUGUUUAUAAGAGACUGUCUUUACUCCAAGUCUAGGACCUCAGCUCAUUGCAUGGUGUCUCACCCACACUUAAGAUGACUCUUCCUGCCUCAGUUCACUUAAUCUAGAAGCUUCCUCACAGUCAUGCUAAAAAUCAUUUUUCCAUGGACCCGAAAAGCCCUUUCAAGCAGACAAACAAGAUAGCCCAUUGCUCUGACACGAGGAAACGGACAAAAAUCUAGGACGAAGGUUAGUGCUUUGGACGGACACUAUUCCUGGGAAAGCCACUCAACUGUGCUCCACCCGAGUUCUUGUUGAAAGACAAGGCAUCCUUUUAUCUCUCAGCUUCUCGACUGCUUCCUCUAGCAGCGCAGAUAAUCAGCUUCGAGUGUUGCUUAGGAAAGGGAGCCUCUCCUUACUCAUCCCAGAGCUACAGACAUUUUUUCUUCAACACCCCGGGUUGCCAGGCUUAGAGCAUCUGAGAUACUAAGUUUUGCCUUUGUAAUCCUGUUUUAUGAGGCUGGGUUUUUUUUUCCCCCUUUGAAGACUAACUCCAAGUCAUUUAGAUGCUUAAGAGCCUAGACAUAGCACAUUUUAUUCUGUUAAUGUGUUCUCCUCAAAUGCCAAGUAGGGAUCGCUCUGCCUUUCUAGGAUGCAAACGCCGGCUUAUGUGCAAACAGCUCACAUUAAAGUGCCAGGCAAGCCUAGGAAUUUUUUCUCUUGACUUAAAAUAACUUUUUAUCAUGCAAAGGAAUAACUUCUUCAUGACUUCUCCAAAGAUAUGAUUCACUGUAACUUGUCCUUAUUCUCUUCCAUGACCUCCUCCCACCCAAGAUGGCCCCUUUCCUCCCACUAAAGACUCUCAUUCUGCUUUCAUUGUGUAGAUGUAUGUGUCUCCAUGGUGAUUCUAAAGUCCAUCAAGUUGUUUGUGUAUCUAUAUGAGUGUGUAUACAUUUAUGUAAUCUAGAUUAAAUGAGAGAGAAAUAUGUGAUAUUUUGUACUUCUCACUAUUCUUUCUAUUUAAAUUUUACCAUUAGUCCUGUUCUUCCUCUCUCCUCUAUUUCCAUGUCUGGGAAUGGAUACUGUACGCUCUUCUUUAUAUAUGUAGGUAGGUAUGAGUGUUUUGCCUGAAUGAUUAUAAUGUGACUGGUGCCUGUAGAAGCCAGAAAAGGAUGCUGGAUUAUCUGGAUCUUGAAUCACGGUUGGUCAUAAGUUGCAUGUGGAUGCUAGGAAUCAAACCCAGGCCAUCUGUAAAAGUAGCAAACUGCUCUUCACUGCGGAACGGUCUCUCCAGCCUCCUACCAUACCCUUUUCAAUUUGUUAUGGCAUUGCAGGCUUUUGUUGCCAUUGUGGGAACUGAAGGCAGGACCUUGUGCAUGCUAGACCAGAAAACAAUCAUUGGAAUAGAGCUGUCUCCUUCCAAUGUCUGGAUUCUUGGGAUCAAAGUCACAUUAUCAAGCUUGUUGGCAAGCACCUUGACCAUCUGAAAUUCCUUGUAUCUUGCUUCAUGAUCCUUUCUAAU